rfam:Lupinus angustifolius cultivar Tanjil chromosome LG08, whole genome shotgun sequence.
UUUUAGUAUAAUUUUAACGCUUAAUGCACAAGAUCUCAUCAGGUCUCCAUAGUUAAGCGUGUUUGGCCGAGAGUAGUACUAGGAUGGGUGACCUUCUAGGAAGUCCUCGUGUUCAAAGAA